UUAGCCGGGCUUGAUGGUUCCCAGCUGAGGCACGAGAAUUGCACGAAUCCGGGAGGCAGAGGUUGCAGUGAGCUGAGAUUGCACCAGGCACUCCAGCCUAGGCGACAAAGUGAGACACUGUCUCAAAAAUAAAUAAAUAAAUAAAUAAAUAAAAUUUAGGGGAAUUAAAAACUGGAAAUUAAGUUUUUCAAGUAUACAUCUCUCUAAUAAUAAAAUAACCACUUAAAGUGAAAAAAGGAAAAAAAAGAAUGGUCAACUAGUAGAUCCACUCUAAAAGUAGAGCAUCAAGCAUUAGUAACUCUAAUAAAUAGAAAAUAUGUUUUAGAAUUUGAAAACAUUAGUGAGGCAGAUGGUAUUUUCCAAAGAUGGCUGCACCAAUAUAUUUCAUCCCACAUGUUUUUCUUAUAAUGUGAUGUUGACAUUUCUGCAUUGAGAAAUGGGGACUGAGUUCCCUCUUCUUGAAUCUGGGUGGGCAUUUGUAAUGGCCUCAACCAAUAGAAGACAUCAUAAAUGGUACAAUGUGACCUCAGAAGUUAAGUCAUAAAAAAAUUCAGAUUCUGCUCUGUUUUCUCUUUCUAGGGACAAAUGCUUUUGGAAUCCUGACCUGACAUGAAAAAAGUUCACCUGAAGCUGCCAUCCUGGAAGACUAUGAGAUGGAGAUGCCCAAGAAGCCCCAGGUAUUCCUAAUCCCAAUUGUUUAAGUCUUUCCAGUGUUAACCACCAGAUAUGUGAUGGAUUAAGGACUCCAGAUUAUUCCAGUUCCCAGCUGUCUUAGUCAGGGUUCUCCGGAGAAGUUAAGCUGCUCCACCAAGUAUGCCCAAAUUGUAGAAUUGUGAGCAUAAUAAAUAUUGUAAUUUUAAUCCACUAGCUUUCAGGAUAAUUUGUUAUUCAGCAUUAGUAGCUAGAAGUUAUAUUUGUAAACCAUAGUCUAUUUGUAUAUACAUUUGUUGUUUCAUUCCUUUUUUUUGAGAUGGAGUCUCGCUCUGUCACCCAGGCUGGAGUGUAGUGGCGUCAUCUUGGCUCACUGCAAACUCCGCCUCCCUGGUUCAAGUGAUUCUCCUGCCUCGGCCUCCCAAGUAGCUGGGAUUACAGGCGUGCACCACCACGCCCGGCUAAUUUUUGUAUUUUUAGUAGAGACAGGGUUUUACCAUGUUGGCCAGGCUGGUCUUGAACUCCUGACCUCAGGUGAUCCACCUGCCUUGGCCUCCCAAAGUCCUGGGAUUACAGGCAUGAGCCACCGCAUCUGGCCUCAUUCACUUUUAUUUUCACAUUUGUUUUGGGCAGGAAGGACAUUAAAACAUAAACACUAAAAUUGGGAGCCAGUCAGAAUGGAGCAGAAUCAGAGGCCCUCCUUAUUGGACUGGGUGUAAACUCCUUGGUUGUUAGAUUUUGGAAAUCAGCAACUAUUUACCAAUCAGUGUGGAAUUAUGUUAAUAUUUAAAUAACAAAACCAGUGCAGGCUAGGUAGGUAUCAGCUAAGCAUGAGGUAUGAUACCUUAUUGCAGUGUUUUCAGUGGGCUUUAGCCCAUUUAUUUGAUCAUCCUAAUAGCCUCAGAAGAAAAACACAGCAAGACUUUGCCUUCGGUGAGAAUGCACUGGACAACCUAAGCAGAGUCUGUUUUUCACUGGGCAGAUCUCCAGGUAUGAGUCUAUCUCAACAACAUUGUGUUUGUCUCAUGAUGGAUGCUACUCAGCCCUGAGACCACAACUCAACUCAAAGGAAUCGCCCUGAGAUUCUGAGACUCUGUGGGAGGGCACAUGAUGGAACCUGUUGCGGAUCAGAUACCUAAAACACAAAACACACAAAAAAUCAUGUAGAAUGUACCUUAAAGUUCUUUGAGUAUUCAGCCAUUUGGAGUGACAGAUAAAAUACCAGCAAGGAAACAAUGUUUGUCUACCACACAGAAAAAGAGAAACUUGAAAUUUGAGCUCAUCAGUGGCUCAGAAUCUCACUCUUCUAAAUGUGAAGUUAACCUGACCAUUGUGAAAAGCCAUAGCUUGGAACAGAAGAAACUCUAAUUAAACAGAGUCUAGUAAAAUUAAAACAGGGCCCUUUACCUCAUUGACUUUACUUACAAUCUCUUGUUGGUAAAUAUGAAAACAGAUGGGUUCUGCUUUAUUGCUAGGUAACAGUGUAUUGCUAUCUAUGAAAGUCAAGGCAUCACUCCAGGAAAAAGAUCAGAGAGAUCUUCAAUCUACCUUGUGCCUAAAUGAAUUUAGCAACAAACAAGCCUAAAUAAGCACAAAUUCAUUUUGGAUGGUCUGGGAAUUUAUUUCAUGACUUUAAAAAAGAUGUUAAAAUCGACACCCCAAAUAAUCUAUAAAUAUAAUUAACAUUGAUUUUGCACAAACCAGUUGCUGAGAAUGAAAUUCUUGUGAUAAAAUAGCUCAGGGUUUAUAAGGGCUUAAAACUUUCAUAGUUCAGUAGCAGGGUAUUGUUGAUCUAACCUACAUCUGAUUGCAAACCUUGUACUCACAAUGACUUGCCCUGUGACUCUAGAAUAACGAAUUUAACCCCUGUGGACUUAGUAUUAGCAGGAAUUCUAAUUUUAAGGUAUGUAUCUUUUUUUGAAGUAUAGGAUACAUCUUGAAGAUUUGGUGGAACUAUAGGACAAACAGCUAAAUCACCACCUUGUUUGAGUUAUUGGUUCAUAGUGGUUGGGAAAGGUAACUAGGAUUUAGGAAGUACAUGCUGUAACAUGUAAAGAUGACAAAAAAGAAUAAAGAUGCCCUUCACAAAGUUAGUUAUUCACAAUCAAAAAUAAAACAACUUGUUUAAUGCAGUGCUGUGCAUUUAGCUGACAGUUAAUAAAAACUCAUUGAAUGGAUGGGUGAAUUAAUUCAUCCAUCAGUGAGAUAAGCUAGGAGGAACUAGCUGGAAAUCCAAGGCAGAACAAAUCCACUUCUUAAGUAUCUGGUUGUUCAGAACAAAGUAGUUUUGGGGAUUAAAUUACACGUCUGGAAUAUUGCUUCAGAUCCACGUUUCACUUUUGUUGGCUAAUCUCUCCUUAAGAUUAGUAGUGAAGUGCUCUUGGAAUAAAGCCAAGCAAUGGAGUUAGUUUCUUCCUCCUUUAUUUCUGGUAAGGUCAAAAGCAAACUGGGAUUUAGCAAACCUGAG
rnacentral:lncRNA from 1 species